GACGAACGCUGGCGGCGUGCUUAACACAUGCAAGUCGAACGGAAAGGCCCUGCUUUUGUGGGGUUCUCGAGUGGCGAACGGGUGAGUAACACGUGAGUAACCUGCCCUUGACUUUGGGAUAACUUCAGGAAACUGGGGCUCAUACCGGAUAGGAGCUCCUGCUGCAUGGUGGGGGUUGGAAAGUUUCGGCGGUUGGGGAUGGACUCGCGGCUUAUCAGCUUGUUGGUGGGGUAGUGGCUUACCAAGGCUUUGACGGGUGGCCGGCCUGAGAGGGUGACCGGCCACAUUGGGACUGGGAUACGGCCCAGACUCCUACGGGAGGCAGCAGUGGGGAAUAUUGCACAAUGGGCGGAAGCCUGAUGCAGCAACGCCGCGUGCGGGAUGACGGCCUUCGGGUUGUAAACCGCUUUCGCCUGUGACGAAGCGUGAGUGACGGUAAUGGGUAAAGAAGCACCGGCUAACUACGUG
rnacentral:rRNA from 1 species